GCCCAGACUCCUACGGGAGGCAGCAGUGGGGAAUAUUGCACAAUGGGGGAAACCCUGAUGCAGCGACGCCGCGUGAGCGAUGAAGUAUUUCGGUAUGUAAAGCUCUAUCAGCAGGGAAGAAGAUGACGGUACCUGACUAAGAAGCCCCGGCUAACUACGUGCCAGCAGCCGCGGUAAUACGUAGGGGGCAAGCGUUAUCCGGAUUUACUGGGUGUAAAGGGAGCGUAGACGGCGAUGCAAGCCAGAUGUGAAAGCCCGGGGCUCAACCCCGGGACUGCAUUUGGAACUGUGUGGCUGGAGUGUCGGAGAGGCAGGCGGAAUUCCUAGUGUAGCGGUGAAAUGCGUAGAUAUUAGGAGGAACACCAGUGGCGAAGGCGGCCUGCUGGACGAUGACUGACGUUGAGGCUCGAAAGCGUGGGGAGCAAACAGGAUUAGAUACCCUCGUAGAA
rnacentral:rRNA from 1 species